UGAUAACCUAAUUAAUUAAAGGAGGAGUAGAAGACUCAAGAAACAAGGAGCUGAAAUUAAUAGGUUUGGAUUUGGAAGGAGAUUUUUGAGUCAUCUCGAAUCCUAAGGUAAGAAUGAAGAAAGAGAGAAGAUUAGUAGAAAGGGCUUCUAUGUGCAUAAUUAAGGAAUUAAACAAG